rnacentral:rRNA from 1 species
AUUGAACGCUGGCGGCAGGCCUAACACAUGCAAGUCGAACGGUAACAGGAAGCAGCUUGCUGCUUUGCUGACGAGUGGCGGACGGGUGAGUAAUGUCUGGGAAACUGCCCGAUGGAGGGGGAUAACUACUGGAAACGGUAGCUAAUACCGCAUAACGUCGCAAGACCAAAGAGGGGGACCUUAGGGCCUCUUGCCAUCGGAUGUGCCCAGAUGGGAUUAGCUAGUAGGUGGGGUAACGGCUCACCUAGGCGACGAUCCCUAGCUGGUCUGAGAGGAUGACCAGCAAAACUGGAACUGAGACACGGUCCAACCUCCUACGGGAGCAAGCAGUGGGGAUAUUGCACAAUGGGCGCAAGCCUGAUGCAGCCAUGCCGCGUGUAUGAAGAAGGCCUUCGGGUUGUAAAGUACUUUCAGCGGGGAGGAAGGGAGUAAAGUUAAUACCUUUGCUCAUUGACGUUACCCGCAGAAGAAGCACCGGCUAACUCCGUG